UUGAAGACACGGGAACAUUGUGUGUGAUAAUUGAAAGCCUGGGCUGAGGAGGAUGAGCAGCUUGUUGGUACCUUGGCUGAAUUUUCAGUGAUGUUCAUUUGCUGCUGGUAGUGAUAAGGAUCUUCCUGGUGAGGAUUGCACUCUCUUGGGUUUCAAGGCUGCUAGAAUUACAAUUUAUUCAGAGUUCAAGCCUUUGUUUAAGACAAUGUCCUCAGGGUUAUAUGUUAAAUGGCAGAAGAAAAACUACUGUUCUGGGUCUCCUCUUUGGCUGCAUCUUAUCAGGCUCCUUGUAGCUGAAAGACUUGGCAGAGGCACUUGUUGAUACCUGGAAGGAAGGACAGUCCUUACUAG